GGGGAGGGGGCGCCUGGGCGCGGCGCCGGGACCCUGCUGCCCUGUCCUCCCGGCCGCGGCUGGACGGAGCGCGGGGCCGCAGCAACCAGGCCGGGCUCCCCGUCGCGCCCCUUCCGGAGCGGGAGGCCCUUGCCGAGGCCGAGCCUGGGACGCGCGGGGCGGGGGGCGGCGGGCAGCCGCGGGGCCGAGACGCAGGGCGUUUUCCCCGGAGGUGCGGCGUGCGCCUGCGACACAAAGGUCUUUUAAAGACCUCGCAGCGUCCUUCCCGGCUGCGGAGGCUGGAGGCCCGGGGGGGCGAGGCCGGGGUCGAGGGUGGCCGCGCGAGGGGGCGCUGGGAUCGGCCGGAUCCCGCGGUUGCGCCCGGGCUGGGACUCCCGGGCUCCUUUUGUGAGCGGAAGGCAGGGCCCUCCCCGGGUCUCUGAAUAUGGUCAGUUCGGCUUCGCAGGGCUGCGUGCCCGGAAUAAUAAAUUGGCUUCUCUAGGGUCGUAAUCUGGGCCCCACCCCGAGCAGCUUUGAGCUGGUUCGCGCCUUCCAGGCAGGACUACUGGGGGUCCUCAAAAGCACCCCCGCGGUCGGCUGUGUCAGGAUCACCUGGGUCCCGUGUGAACACGAUUCCAGGGCCCCACCCCAUCGCCUGAAGCGGAAUCUCUGGGCGGGGCCCAGGAAUCCGAGUUUUUGGAACAGGGAGAAGACUUUCCUCGAACCUGUUUGCAGAGAGCCGUGUUGCCCGCUUUGAGGGCCCUUUCUCGGGAGACCUGUUUGCUUUGUUCAACCUCUGAAUUCAGCAGACCCAAAAUCCACCAAGGCCACUAGCUUAUGAGUGAAUGUGGUCCCUUCAGGUAAGGGCCAGACAGCCCCUGCCAGGGCUUGGGGAGGGUUUUCCUAGAGGAAUCCUGGCAGUAAAAAAACCAACCCCCAAACUCUCCAAGUGCUGGACGCUGGAGAAUCCCAGCAAGGAAAAGGAACAAAUCUUAUCUCAUGCCGGAAGAUAACCUCUUCCCUUUGUUGGCGCUUUUCCUUGCGUUCAGGAUGAAUUAAAAUUCUUAUCUGCUCUGCA